rnacentral:rRNA from 1 species
UCAAUGGGCGGAAGCCUGAACCAGCCAUGCCGCGUGCGGGAAGGAGGCCCUAUGGGCUGUGAACCGCUUUUGCCUGGGGGCAAUAAGGGCGUCGCGCACGUCCGAUGAGAGUACCAGGCGAAUAAGCAUCGGCUAACUCCGUGCCAGCAGCCGCGGUAAUACGGGGGAUGCGAGCGUUAUCCGGAUUCAUUGGGUUUAAAGGGUGCGUAGGCUGUGCGUCAAGUCGGGGGUGAAAUUCCGGUGCUCAACACCGGGGCUGCCCUUGAUACUGUCGCGCUGGAGUGCGGAUGCCGCCGGAGGAAUGAGUGGUGUAGCGGUGAAAUGCUUAGAUAUCACUCAGAACACCGAUUGCGAAGGCAUCUGGCGAAUCCGUAACUGACGCUGAGGCACGAAAGCGUGGGGAUAGAACAGGAUUAGAUACCCUGGUAUUCCACGCCGUAAACGAUGAUGGCUAACCGCCGGCGACACACUGUCGGUGGCCAAG